UUGCUGUCAUUAUCGCUUCCCACUACCAGGGUUGGAACUGAAAUAAUAGGCUAAAGCAAUGACAUUUUUAGGAAAGCACAAGUGUAAUUAUGGUCAGAUCUUGAGCCUGACUGAUGAGGAAGUGAUAUUGAUAAAAGCGUUGGCUAGUUAUUUUUGCCAGCUUUCCUUCCUGGGUUAGGAAGCAGACACUGUAUCGCGUUUUGCCUGUAAAACCAUGUCUGUGUUCUUCAUCUGUAUGUAGAAUUAUAGUUGGCUCUUCUAAUUUUAAAAAUGCGGCUCUGGAAGAUGUUUGUGAUUGGUCAUUCUGUGCAAACACCGGCUCUUUUAUGGGAGCGCGUGCGUCGCUGGAUUGGGAAACCCUGGGUUGGUUGAACUGGUGGUUAACCAGCGUUGUGACACAGCUUAAACCGGACCGUGGUAGUUAGGUGAAGCCGGGUAACUGAAUGAAAUCCAGGGCAUGUUGAUCUUGAUUCGUAGUACAGGCCUCAGGUUGUGUUUCAGUUAAAA